rnacentral:rRNA from 1 species
AUUGAACGCUGGCGGCAGGCCUAACACAUGCAAGUCGAGCGGCAGCGCGGGGCAACCUGGCGGCGAGCGGCGAACGGGUGAGUAACGCGUAGGAAUCUACCCAGUAGCGGGGGAUAGCCCGGGGAAACUCGGAUUAAUACCGCAUACGCCCUAAGGGGGAAAGCAGGGGAUCGCAAGACCUUGCACUAUUGGAAGAGCCUGCGUUGGAUUAGCUAGUUGGUAGGGUAAAGGCCUACCAAGGCGACGAUCCAUAACUGGUCUGAGAGGAUGAUCAGUCACACCGGAACUGAGACACGGUCCGGACUCCUACGGGAGGCAGCAGUGGGGAAUAUUGGACAAUGGGGGCAACCCUGAUCCAGCCAUGCCGCGUGUGUGAAGAAGGCCUUCGGGUUGUAAAGCACUUUAAGUGGGGAGAAAGGCUCGGUAGCUAAUAACUGCCGGGAUUGAUGCUACCCACAGAAUAAGCACCGGCUAACUCUGUG